GACACGUCGUUCUCAGCAGCUGAAGCCAUGUGCUGUGACUAUCUUUGGAGCCUCCCCAGCCCUGUUUAGUGCACAGCUGAACUGUAACUGUUGCAAACAUCUGGAGUGGAUGAGAUGGGAAAGGAGACCCGCAGUGAUUGUGGAUUCUGGGGAAGAUGGACCAGUGGUGGUGUGGUAGAUAGGUUGGAACAGAGAAACGCCCCCAGUGCCAGGACUAUGUUGACAUCCGGCAAAGCCUGCAGACGAUCCUGCACCUGCGGAUGGUGUCUGGGAUUCUCUUCCUCAUCAGGAAGUCGAUCUGCAGCUCCUGGCAGAGCUUGUCAAACAGACGCCCACGGGGCUCCUUACACAGCCAGGAGGAUCAGCAAGGGCGGGCACCCUGUCUGGUGAACACCUCCGUGCUUAUUAAGGAUCCACGUCUGAUCACUGGGGCUUGCCGGCAUGUUUGCACAUCUCUGUCAUGAGAGAUUGGAAAGUAAUUCAACAAGGACGAAAGUGAUUGCUCUAGGAGAGAAGAGCUCUGAGACGGGAAAUCUCCUCAGGCAAACCUAUCUGAGACCACCAUGACGCCAUAAGGACUCAGGGUAGACUGAUCAAAGGACACUUAGCAGCUCUGUCUUUGCAUAUCGCACAGGAAUCUUUUCAAAAUACAGCAAGAGGACACUGAUGAAGACUGUUGCAGGUCUAACUCUUCAGCCUGGCUUCAGAGGAGGGAUGGAGGUAUCUUAGCUGUAUCCCAACCCUGGUGUCCUUUCCCUUUUAGGCUUUUAGGGGGUGUGGUAGUUUGAAUAAGCUUGGCCCAGGGAGUGGCUCAAUUAGAAGGUCUGGCCUUGUUGGAGUGGGUGUGGCCUUGCUGGAGUGGGUGUGGCCUUGCUGGAGUGGGUGUGUCAUUGUGGGUAUGGGCUUUAGGACCCUCCUCCUAGCUGCUUGGGAGCCAGUCUUCUAGAGUCCUUUAGAGGAAGAUGUAGACCUCACAGCUUGUGCAGCACCAUGCCUGCCUAGAGGCUGCCAUGCUCCCUCCUUGAUGAUAAUAAAUUGAACCUCUGAACCUGUAAGCCAGCCCCAAUUAAAUGUUGUCUUUAUUAGAGUU
rnacentral:lncRNA from 1 species